GUAGGCUGAAACUCGCCUACAUGAAGCUGGAGUUGCUAGUAAUCGCGAAUCAGCAUGUCGCGGUGAAUACGUUCCCGGGCCUUGUACACACCGCCCGUCACACCAUGAGAGUUGGCAAUACCCAACGUACGUGAUCUAACCCGCAAGGGAGGAAGCGUCCUAAGGUAGGGUCAGCGAUUGGGGGUGAAGUCGUAACAAGGUAUC
rnacentral:rRNA from 1 species